rfam:Sporocytophaga myxococcoides DNA, contig: Contig48_01, strain: PG-01.
GGGGCCGACCGGAUUUGACAGGUUGAGUAAUGACGUGUAUAAGCAUGCAGGCUCAUGGGAUGAGAGCCUUGAAAGAUAGUUCCGAACAAUAUCUGGCGAAGAAUCUUACGCCAUGGCUGCUUAAUCUGACUGAAUGUUAGAUUAGCUCAUCCUGAUAUUAGAUUAUCAGGAAGCCAUCACUCCUCAGUUCUUUCGUUUCGCGGGAACUGAAUACGGGGUGUCGAACAGUGGAACUAGUCAGAGUGAUGUUGUUAAACUUUGACGAAAUCUAAACAACUAAGGUAAAAUUUGGCUGCUGCCUGCCUGGUUUUACCCGACAAUUAAAGUCAGCUAAGCAUGUAGAAGGCUCGAUUAUUAGCUUCUCUGGACCAGGGUUCGACUCCCUGCGGCUCCACUA